rnacentral:rRNA from 1 species
UACAGAGGGGCAAGCGUUGUUCGGAAUUACUGGGCGUAAAGGGCGCGUAGGCGGCCUGUUAAGUCGAACGUGAAAUCCCCGGGCUCAACCCGGGAACUGCGUCCGAUACUGGCAGGCUUGAAUUCGGGAGAGGAAAGUGGAAUUCCUGGUGUAGCGGUGAAAUGCGUAGAUAUCAGGAGGAACACCGGUGGCGAAGGCGGCAUCCUGGACCGGCAUUGACGCUAAAGCGCGAAAGCCAGGGAGCAAACAGG